rnacentral:rRNA from 1 species
AUGCCGUCGUGGCCGAACAGCAACGAGACGUCGGACGACGAUGACGAGUACAUGAGCGAGUUCAGCAGCAUGCAGAUGGAGUACUUUCAAACUCCUGACACUGUGAUAGACCCUAGUUUCUGUGAGCUUGUGACUGAAUCUGACAGAAGGUGCAUCCUGCACAGGCAGAGGGCGGGCAAGUUUGUGGCAUUUGAAGGCACUGACACUGGCAGGAGAUUCAUAGGAUGUGCUACUGAGGAUGGUGUGAACUGUGGUGUUCUGGAGUGGGUAGAUGCCCCCUGGCCUGUAAUUCUGCAAAGGUGCUUAAGCAAGCUCUGGGAUAUGUAUCAUGAGCAGAACCUUGGUAGAGCCCAGGAUAAUGAGGCUCAUGGGAUAGAGGUUGAAAAACUGCAGAAGGAGCUUGAUUCUCUGGCCAAUCAGUAUAGCCAGCUGGUGGAUGAUGUGUCCAAGUUGUUUGAUUUUCAGGAUGGAAUCAAAUCUCAUGACAUGGAUUGCACAAGCCAGGCAAUCAAUGAACUGAAGGAGAAGAAGAAGCAACUUGAGGAGCAGGCAAAGAUUGAGCUUCAAAUGGAGAAGCUUAAGAUCAAGAAAGAACAAAGUCAUUGCUGA